rnacentral:tRNA from 1 species
AUAAGAGUGUUGGUAGGGGAUUCGUCUUUUUCAAAAUCCCCCGCCCUUAAAAGCGUGUCGGUUCGAGUCCGACCUCUGGUACCA